AAAAAUCUGGAGGAUAUCACCAUUGAUCCAACUGAAAAAGUAGUGAUUGAAAAUGAAACAUCAGAAAGUGAGGAAGAAUUGAGUGAUCAUGAAGGUGAUGCAGAAAUGCAAGUAAAGCAGAUGAAACGAGCACAUGGC